rnacentral:rRNA from 1 species
GAUGAACGCUAGCGGGAGGCCUAAUACAUGCAAGUCGAGCGGUAGAGUGACUUCGGUUGCUUGAGAGCGGCGCACGGGUGAGUAACGCGUACAUGACCUACCUUUAAGACUGGGAUAGCCCUGGGAAACUGGGAUUAAUACCGGAUGUGAUAAUACGUAUAGAGAUGUAUUAUUAAAGUUGAGGCGCUUAGAGAUGGAUGUGCGUCUGAUUAGCUAGUUGGUAGGGUAACGGCCUACCAAGGCUACGAUCAGUAGGGGCGUGAGAGCGUGGCCCCCCACACGGGUACUGAGACACGGACCCGACUCCUACGGGAGGCAGCAGUAAGGAAUAUUGGUCAAUGGACGAAAGUCUGAACCAGCCAUCCCGCGUGCAGGAUGAAGGUCCUAUGGAUUGUAAACUGCUUUUAGCAGAGAAGAAAAGCAUUCAUUUAUGAGUGUCUGACGGUAUCUGCGGAAUAAGCACCGGCUAACGUCCGUGCCAGCAGCCGC